ACACAUGCAAGUCGAGGGGCAGCAUGGUCUUAGCUUGCUAAGGCCGAUGGCGACCGGCGCACGGGUGAGUAACACGUAUCCAACCUGCCGUCUACUCUUGGACAGCCUUCUGAAAGGAAGAUUAAUACAAGAUGGCAUCAUGAGUCCACAUGUUCACAUGAUUAAAGGUAUUCCGGUAGACGAUGGGGAUGCGUUCCAUUAGAUAGUAGGCGGGGUAACGGCCCACCUAGUCUUCGAUGGAUAGGGGUUCUGAGAGGAAGGUCCCCCACAUUGGAACUGAGACACGGUCCAAACUCCUACGGGAGGCAGCAGUGAGGAAUAUUGGUCAAUGGGCGAGAGCCUGAACCAGCCAAGUAGCGUGAAGGAUGACUGCCCUAUGGGUUGUAAACUUCUUUUAUAAAGGAAUAAAGUCGGGUAUGCAUACCCGUUUGCAUGUACUUUAUGAAUAAGGAUCGGCUAACUCCGUGCCAGCAGCCGCGGUAAUACGGAGGAUCCGAGCGUUAUCCGGAUUUAUUGGGUUUAAAGGGAGCGUAGAUGGAUGUUUAAGUCAGUUGUGAAAGUUUGCGGCUCAACCGUAAAAUUGCAGUUGAUACUGGAUGUCUUGAGUGCAGUUGAGGCAGGCGGAAUUCGUGGUGUAGCGGUGAAAUGCUUAGAUAUCACGAAGAACUCCGAUUGCGAAGGCAGCCUGCUAAGCUGCAACUGACAUUGAGGCUCGAAAGUGUGGGUAUCAAACAGGAUUAGAUACCCUGGUAGUCCACACGGUAAACGAUGAAUACUCGCUGUUUGCGAUAUACUGCAAGCGGCCAAGCGAAAGCGUUAAGUAUUCCACCUGGGGAGUACGCCGGCA
rnacentral:rRNA from 1 species